CACGUAGGAGACGAGCGUUAUCCGGAUUUACUGGGUGUAAAGCGCGUGCAGGCGGCAUGGUAAGUUGGAUGUGAAAGCUCCUGGCUUAACUGGGAGAGGUCGUUCAAGACUGCCAGGCUAGAGGACAGCAGAGGGGAGUGGAAUUCCGAGUGUAGCGGUAAAAUGCAUAGAUAUUCGGAAGAACACCAGUGGCGAAGGCGACUCCCUGGGCUGUAACUGACGCUCAGACGCGAAAGCUAGGGUAGCAAACGGG
rnacentral:rRNA from 1 species